UACGGAGGGAGCUAGCGUUGUUCGGAAUUACUGGGCGUAAAGCGCGCGUAGGCGGCUUUGUAAGUUAGAGGUGAAAGCCCGGAGCUCAACUCCGGAACUGCCUUUAAAACUGCAUCGCUUGAAUCCAGGAGAGGUGAGUGGAAUUCCGAGUGUAGAGGUGAAAUUCGUAGAUAUUCGGAAGAACACCAGUGGCGAAGGCGGCUCACUGGACUGGUAUUGACGCUGAGGUGCGAAAAGCGUGGGGAGCAAACAGG
rnacentral:rRNA from 1 species